GACGAACGCUGGCGGCGUGCCUAAUACAUGCAAGUCGAACGCAGUGGGGACGGGUGAGUAACACGUGGGUAACCUCCCAUCAGCGGGGAUAACACUUGGAAACAGGUGCUAAACCGAUACUGAUGGAUGGACCCGCGGUGCAUUAGCUAGUUGGUGAGGUAACGGCUCACCAAAGCCACGAUGCAUAGCCGGCCCGCGCGGUAGAGCGGACACAACGCGAGUGAGAGACGGCAUGGACUCCAACGGGAGGCAGAAGUAGAGAGUCUUAGGUAAUGGAGGAAAGUCUGACCGAGCCACGACGCGUGAGUGAAGAAGGGUUUCGGAUCGAAAAACUUUGUUGUAAGAAAAGCGGCAGCUAACCAGAAAGCCAAGGCUGACUACGUGCCAGCAGCCGCGGUAAUAC
rnacentral:rRNA from 1 species